UUUUAUGUCUGUCCUUGUCCUUUCUUGAUGUUUUCUGUGCCCAUUCUUCUUUCUGGCUGAAGAACUUUUCUUUAGGUUCUGGAUCACGGUAAGGCAGUAACAGAUUGUUGUUAAUUAUGUGUUCUUUGUAUCUGCCUUGGAGAGAUCCAUACAUGUUCUGUAUGAAGUCAGCAGGACGCAGGUACUUCUUCUUUUUAAGGAUGCUGUGUUUAACAAUCCAAAACCACUGUUCCACAUGACAGUUACUUUCCCUUGUUUUGGAUUGUUGGCUGACUGUAGCUGUGCUGAUUUCAGAAAACCGGCUAAGAUCCCCAAGAAGAACUCCACUCCACAGCGGGAAGAUACUCAUGUAGUUGUUCAUGAGGAAGUCGAUGAGCUCUGGACAGAAAAAGGUAUUUUUUCCCCCUGUCUUGCUACUGAAGUGGAGGCUCUUGGCUCUGUUCAAAACUGCAGUGAACAGUGAUGUAAAUGAUCCAGGGCAGUUUUGGCUGCAUUCACCACGUCGGUCUCCUCUUCUGAUGUGAGAAGAACAGCCAUAUCUUCAAAUACAGCUGUUGCCUCUUCUAGAUGUGUGCUGUUUAACAACAAGGCAAAGCAGUAGGUGGCAUACUCCUUUAAAGCCUUGUUGUCAGUCUUUCUUGAAAAUGCCUGACACACUGCCUUAACAAUAUGUGAAGAGCAAAGAUGUAAGACUGUAAAUUGAAGAUCACCACUGUUUGCCUUGUUCAAAACAAUGCGGUGGGCUCGUUGUAAAUACAGCAAAAUGCUUUCUUUGUUGAAUGCCAGAAGGACACUUGAAAUUAGUCCCCAACUGAAGUCCGUCUCCACUUGAUGGACAUGGCAUGAUGUUAUUUGACCAAGAGCCCUUAAUGUUUCCAUCAGCCUGGUAUUGGUGCUGAUGUGUUUCUGGACUUGUGAUGGCUGUGGCAGGUCUUUAGGUGGGUCAAAGUAUUAGGUCUUAUGUUUGUCCUGUUUUCUUGCCCAAGCCCAUUCUUCUUUCUGGCUUUUCUUUAGGUUCUGGAUCACGGUAAGGCAGUAACAGAUUGUGGUUAAGUGUUUAAUAUGCCUCGGUGGGAUCCAUACAUAUUCUGUAUGAAGUCAACAGGACACAGGUGUGGAGGCUGGUGGCCCUUUCCAAAACUGCAGUAAUUGUUGAUGUAAUGGUGAUCAGCUUGAUGUACCUGGCAUGAUUGUCAUUUGGACAAGGGUCAAAGUGUGAACCACCUCAGGAAGGGAUGGGGGUUUUAUUGUUAUUAGCAUUGAUGUCAACACGAGCCAACAGCCACAUUUUAAUUGGUGGACAUGAAUUUGAUUUUAAAUAAGAAUCAUUUGGAAUGUUUUUUUUUUUUAUUGAAUGAACUUUUAUCAAAAUAGUAUUUUUAAAUCUAAUUUUAAUGAGUUUGAGUAUCGUUUUUAUUAAGCUGAACUGACCGCAUUUUAAUGUUGUAACAUGCAUUUUUAACUUAAGCACA